UUUUCCUCUGAUCUGCCUCCUCUCUUUCAUCAAGAAAACCACAGAGAGCAGGGCAGAGGGAGACGAA
ensembl:miRNA